CUUAUUCCUCCCAACAAGGUGAAGUGUUUGCUAUGUGCCAGGGAGCUGGGAUAUAACAACAACACCUCAUCCAUGCUUAGGCACUACAGAGCUUUGCAUGAGAAUAAGGGGAACACCGAUUGUGGAGCAAGACCAGGAGAACAAUCUCAAAUAGAUGAAGACCUGGUUAGCAUGGUGAUUGAGGACCCCCAGCCAUUUACCACUGUGGAGGACAAAGGAUUUAAAAGAUUUGUUAAAUCAUUAAAUCCUAGCUAUGUUCUCCCCACUAAAAAGGUCAUAAAAGCAGUGAAAAUUUAGUUUUUACAGAAUAAAAUGUGAACAGGCAGGACUGAGGCUCAAAGCCUCAGUGUGUAGCUGUCCACACCCCAACCACACCUCACCUCACAGUAAAUGAUCAUUUCCAUUUUAAGCAUUUCCAAAUAAUCAUUUUCCAUACUGCCAGCAUAAAUAUACACAGUAUUCUGCCAUAACUACAAUAUACAUGUUUUACACACUCCUUUUGUUGUUGACAUUUACAGGCUGUGUGCAAAAUGCCACACUCUUCAAAUUCAUGCCAACUAAUAUUUUUACGUCCAGUAGAUGUCCUACUAGAGCAAAUGAAGCUUCAAGAAGCUUUGCGCUGGAGUGAACCAAUUGGA